AUGCGCGGCGGGCGGCUGGGCGGACCGGUAUAAACGCACGCGCCUCCGUCCCGCGGCCUUUAGCGGAUGCCGGGAGCGUGUGCUUUCUUUCGUUUUGGACACGGAUCUCCCGGAGAACUUGAGGCCGACGCCGCCAGGACCUUGGGGGGUCGUGGGAGAGAUCGGUGGUCCCGCGUUUCAAAUAAAGCUGUUUAACUCGG